CUCUGUUGGAGAUUGCUUCUCUUGGGGUCUUCUCUGCAAGCCUGGGGCAAGGGACUGGCAGAUAUCUAUAGGAAUACAGCUAGGAAAUUAAAUGUGCUCAGGCAUGAGCUGGUGCUGUUUCUAAUGUUAAACUGUCAUAUAGGGGCUACAUCCUGAGUAGGGAGGCUCAUCCAGUUGCAAGCUUAGACUUCUGUUUUCCCCUGGAACUUCUGUUUCAUGAGGAAUGGAUUUAAUCUUCAUUUUGUUCCUGCUUUUACACCUGCCUAGUUGUGGUGGAACACAUCACCCUCAGCUCAGCAGGGUCUCCAGGAGCCCUCCUGCUAAGUGCCUGCCAGAGACAGAGCCAAAGUCAGUGGCCCUCCAUAAACUGACCUGAUGAGGAUAUGAACAAAUUACUGACACUGCUGGUCACACAACAGCCCCUGAAUGUGACAGUGUGGUCAUUGGUGUGGCACGCAUCAGAGCACAGACUGAACAAUGCCACCUGUGAUCAUCCCAGCAGACUCAAAAGCAAAGGCUGUCCUAAGUACUCACACAGAAAUACUUUAUUGCUGCAGAGACCAGCUCCAGAGCAGAAUUACUGCCUCAAGACGUGGCUGUGACUGGUUUCAGUCCACGGGCUGAAGACUCAGUUCUCCAAGGAGAACCCCAAUACUCUGCAUGAUCUUCUUGUCACCAUUACUUACUCUUGUAAUACUGCGUAGGCUUUAUGCCACUGAGGAGAUGAGGUGGGAAGGAAGGUUUACCUGGCUGACCACCAGAAGAGCUGAGGACCUGCGCAAUGGGGGCCCUGGGCCCUGCCUUCUCAGGAGCUGGAAACGGCAAUGGUCGUGUCAUUCAGUGCACUGAACUUUUGAAGGUGAGUCUCCAAGUGCCUGUCAGCAAUGUUCGUGAAGGAACCGGCCCAAUGCAGCCAUGCAGGAGAUGAUGGUACCUGCACUCACACUUCCACAGAAACAGAAUAGCACGGGGCGAGAGCAUUUGAUUAAAAAUGCGAAUUGUGUCUGUGGUCAGAACGAUCUGAUGUGGAAAUGAAUUGAAAAUCACAUGAUUUUGCUUAUGUCUGUGACCUACAGAAGUGCAAGGACAUGAACACAUACUUUUUAUUAUAGACAAAUGGAAACAGCUUGAUACACUGUGAAUCAGUCAUGUUCUUUAAAGUUCAAAUCUGUUUUCUGCUGGAAAAUUUAUUAGUUCUUACAGCAAUAAACACUACUCUUUGGCAUUUCUAGCUGCUAGACAAGAGAAUGAAUUGGACAAAAGGAAAUAAUAGUCAACAAGAAAUGUAAUAUAGCACUGAUACUAACUCAUGGUUCCUAGAACAGUUUCAAGCAUUCAUAAAUGAGAGCACACAUGUACUGGGCUUGAAAAGCACAGGACACUCCACCUAAGACUAAGCAGGUAUCAGAAGGUUGCACUUGUCCCUGAGGAAUUUGUUGUAGCUCAUUCUUGUUCUUGCUGUGAAGUGAAUGAGGCUUUGUUAAGGCAGUUGUGGAGUCAGGUAAAGCAGCCCCUCCACUGGCUGCUGCCCCCACAGCUCAGCAUUCAGGGUCUGCUUGCCUCCUCCCAGCCCUGUGGAGUUGCUGCUUGCUGACACAUGGUUGUGGCCAUGAGCAACUGAUUCUGCACCCUUAGACCUCAGGUGCUCUGAGAUAUCUCAGUCAUGGCUGUAAAUGAGGAUUUCUCAAUGGUCCCCAAUAGUCAGACAUCAUGCUUCUGACAGAUGAUUAUUUGUUCCCCAAAUUACAUUGAGUAGAAGAGUUGAAGCAUCUAUUGUGUAUCUCAUCAUGCUCUAUUAACUGAAAAAGACAGCAGGAACAAAAAACAACUGCCCAAAUAUUAACCAUUAUCCAUCAGCACAGAUUAUUAGCACAAGCUUAAUUGUGCAAAUGGCUGUCCCUCCUAACAAAACAUUCCUUAUGUGAAACCUCGCUUUCGUCUUUAUGCAUUCCAUAGCUGUGCAGAUCGCCUUGCUUCAGUUGUCAAAGCUAAUCAGUGUCCCACCUUCUGCUAAAAGCAUGCUUUAUAAGCAAUACUUUGAUAGGCAUUUGUCUUGCAUAAGCUUCACCCUUCCAUGCAAAGAUCAAAAGCAGAGCGCUGACAGAAGGAUUUGUCUGAAAUCACAGAAAUACUCCUUCUCUGGCUCUCUGCUAAGUAUCUUAUUCUGAGAGUUCAUUUCACUUUCAUUACACUUUACUCAUGCAGAUGCUGCUAUCAGGAAGUAAGAGAACUGGGAAUUGAUCUCCAGAAUUACUCACUGAAGUGAGAUGUCCAAGUAAUGGAGUGUGGUUGUGCUGCCCAAAGGGGUGCACAUGCCCUUGAAAAGUUGUCUAUAGAGACUUACUUUUGCUCAGCUACUAUUUGAUGUAUUUGUCCAUGCGUUGGCAUGCCAUAAUUUGUAAUAAUUACUCAUUCCUGUCAAAAUCGCUGAAUUAUUUUUAAGCACUAAAGCUGUCACUGAAGGCAGAAGCAGGAUGGUGCCAUUGGGUGCAGCUGAACUGGCAGCAGGAGGGUUCAGGUGUGAGGCAGCUCCAGCCCCAGACACAGAUGUGCAGCCAGGCAAUUCCACCAGGCUGCAAACACUGGAAAGAGCACAAGAGAUUGCAAAGGAGUUCCAGUACAGCAAGCGUCAGAGCCAAGGCAGGGGAGCUGCUGCAAUGUCUAAGGCAGAGAGAGGUGUGCUGGUGUUUGAGGAAGAACAAAAGCAGUGCAAGAUGGCAAGAAAAUAGCUGCAGAAAGCAGGUGCCUACUAAACUGCAGCUCCAAGAGGCUCAACCCCAUGAGGUUCAACAGCUCAUUUCAAUUCAGAAUAAUGCUAUCUGAAAAUUUCUAAGUGCUCCCAUAUUUCACUUUGUGAGAUAACAGACAAAAUGCAUUUUUGAUUUUUGUCCUUUCUUAUGCACUCAGUGUGUCAAUGCUGUAGUGUAUGACCAAGAAUGUUGUAUACAUACAUGUCUCUGCUUCUAUAUCAUCUGUAACUUGGGUGGCUCAGCUGCCCUUAGCUGCCAGAAGGAAUUUCUAUUUGUGCCUAAUUCAAAACAUAGCACAGAAUAAACAUCAACUUGCCUCCAAUCUUGCCAGAAAUCCAGUAGUUUUGUAAGACAUUGCCUAAAAAAAAAAAAGAGAGAGAGAAAAGUGACAGCCACAUCCAGGCCAUUCUUUCAUUUCCUAUAUCCUUCACUAUUGGAUGAUGCUCCUCUCAUCAGGACCUGGAUGGUUGUCACUCCAUGCUGUGCUGCUGAACCAGAUCUACUCCCUUUCCUGCAUGGUGUCCCACUGGUUGU